UACGUAGGCAGCAAGCGUUGUUCGGAAUUACUGGGCGUAAAGAGUGUGUAGGCGGUGCUCUAAGUUCGGUGUGAAAUCUCCCGGCUCAACUGGGAGGGUGCGCCGGAAACUGGAAUGCUUGAGCGUGGGAGAGGAAAGCGGAAUUCCUGGUGUAGCGGUGAAAUGCGUAGAUAUCAGGAGGAACACCUGCGGUGUAGACGGCUUUCUGGACCAUUGCUGACACUGAGGCACGAAAGCUAGGGGAGCAAACAGG
rnacentral:rRNA from 1 species